rnacentral:lncRNA from 1 species
AUGGAUUUAUCUUCAGAGAUGAACAAACAUGGAAGGAAUCCAGUAAGUCACAAACUAGAAGAUCAAAAGAAGGUCUUUGCUGGGCUGCCAAACAUCUGGAAACCUUGGACAAACAGCUCUUGCACAUGGAUAGAUUCUAUUGCAGUGAGUCCAAUACAUCAGGGUUUGUCCGAGUUGCUCUAUACAAGCUAUGGAAUGCAUAUUUCCACCUUAAUAUACAUCGUUUACUAGACAGAAAUAUGAAUCCUAUUCAGUGUGAUGGAUUGCACUUUGAUUUACAAUAUCAAAGAUUUGGAUCAUUUUAUGCUCCUAAGCAAACGUGGGUACAAAUUUUCAACAUUUUCAUGUGGUGAUUUAGAUUAUCUGUUUCUAUAAUUGUAUUGAAAAUUGAGCAGAGCACUUUUUUUUUUUUUUAUUAGUGACUUGAUAAUUUAGCUCAUGGAUGGUAUCAAAAUACUAGCUGUGAGUUGUCA